CGGCGAGUGAGCGGCAAGAGCUCAAAUUUGAAAUCUGGCCCCUUCGGGGUCCGAGUUGUAAUUUGUAGAGGAUGCUUCGGGUGCGGCCCCCGUCUAAGUGCCCUGGAACGGGCCGUCGGAGAGGGUGAGAAUCCCGUCUGGGACGGGGUGUCCGUGCCCGUGUGAAGCUCCCUCGACGAGUCGAGUUGUUUGGGAAUGCAGCUCUAAGUGGGUGGUAAAUUUCAUCUAAAGCUAAAUACCGGCCGGAGACCGAUAGCGCACAAGUAGAGUGAUCGAAAGAUGAAAAGCACCUUGAAAAGGGAGUUAAACAGCACGUGAAAUUGUUGAAAGGGAAGCGCUGACGACCAGACUCGCCCGCGGGGUUCAGCCGGCAUUCGUGCCGGUGUACUUCCCCGCGGGCGGGCCAGCGUCGGUUUGGGCGGCCGGUCAAAGGCCCCCGGAAUGUAGCGCCCCUCGGGGCGCCUUAUAGCCGGGGGUGCAAUGCGGCCUGCCUAGACCGAGGAACGCGCUCGGCUCG
rnacentral:rRNA from 2 species